rnacentral:rRNA from 1 species
AUUGGACGCUGGCGGCAGGCCUAACACAUGCAAGUCGAGCGGAUGAGAGGAGCUUGCUUCUCGAUUCAGCGGCGGACGGGUGAGUAAUGCCUAGGAAUCUGCCUGGUAGUGGGGGACAACGUUUCGAAAGGAACGCUAAUACCGCAUACGUCCUACGGGAGAAAGCAGGGGACCUUCGGGCCUUGCGCUAUCAGAUGAGCCUAGGUCGGAUUAGCUAGUUGGUGAGGUAAUGGCUCACCAAGGCGACGAUCCGUAACUGGUCUGAGAGGAUGAUCAGUCACACUGGAACUGAGACACGGUCCAGCAUCCUACGGGAGGCAGCAGUGGGGAAUAUUGGACAAUGGGCGAAAGCCUGAUCCAGCCAUGCCGCGUGUGUGAAGAAGGUCUUCGGAUUGUAAAGCACUUUAAGUUGGGAGGAAGGGCAGUAAGUUAAUACCUUGCUGUUUUGACGUUACCGACAGAAUAAGCACCGGCUAACUCUGUGCCAGCCGCCGCAGUAACAC